rnacentral:tRNA from 2 species
GCCGGUGUGGCGGAAUUGGUAGACGCAGCGGAUUCAAAAUCCGCCGCUGGAAACAGCGUGUCGGUUCGAGUCCGACCACCGGCACCA